rnacentral:rRNA from 1 species
AUUGAACGCUGGCGGCAGGCUUAACACAUGCAAGUCGAGCGGGGAAGUGUAGCUUGCUACCUUACCUAGCGGCGGACGGGUGAGUAAUGCUUAGGAAUCUGCCUAUUAGUGGGGGACAACAUUCCGAAAGGAAUGCUAAUACCGCAUACGUCCUACGGGAGAAAGCAGGGGAUCUUCGGACCUUGCGCUAAUAGAUGAGCCUAAGUCGGAUUAGCUAGUUGGUGGGGUAAAGGCCUACCAAGGCGACGAUCUGUAGCGGGUCUGAGAGGAUGAUCCGCCACACUGGGACUGAGACACGGCCCAGACUCCUACGGGAGGCAGCAGUGGGGAAUAUUGGACAAUGGGCGGAAGCCUGAUCCAGCCAUGCCGCGUGUGUGAAGAAGGCCUUUUGGUUGUAAAGCACUUUAAGCGAGGAGGAGGCUACUCUAGUUAAUACCUAGGGAUAGUGGACGUUACUCGCAGAAUAAGCACCGGCUAACUCUGUG